GAUUUCUGGGCUCAAGAAUUUGGCCGGCCACGGUUUCGUGUGUUAGUGCUUUGUUCUGUGUCCAUCCUUCCAAUUGCUAUUGGCUAUUCUUCAUUGAUUGGUCAGUAGUAUUGGAUCUUUUACUUUGAAAAAAUUAGAGUGUUUAAAGCAGGCUUACGCUAUGAAUACAUUAGCAUGGAAUAAUAAUAUAGGACUUUGGUUCUAUUUUGUUGGUUUCUAGGACUGAAGUAAUGAUUGAUAGGGAUAGUUGGGGGUGCUAGUAUUCAGUGGCCAGAGGUGAAAUUCUUGGAUUCACUGAAGACUAACUACUGCGAAAGCAUU
rnacentral:rRNA from 1 species